rnacentral:rRNA from 1 species
AGUGAACGCUGGCGGCAGGCCUAACACAUGCAAGUCGAACGGCAGCACAGGAGAGCUUGCUCUCUGGGUGGCGAGUGGCGGACGGGUGAGGAAUACAUCGGAAUCUACCUUGUCGUGGGGGAUAACGUAGGGAAACUUACGCUAAUACCGCAUACGACCUUCGGGUGAAAGCAGGGGACCUUCGGGCCUCGCGCGAUUAGAUGAGCCGAUGUCGGAUGAGCUAGUUGGCGGGGUAAAGGCCCACCAAGGCGACGAUCCGUAGCUGGUCUGAGAGGAUGAUCGGCCACACUGGAACUGAGACACGGUCCAGACUCCUACGGGAGGCAGCAGUGGGGAAUAUUGGACAAUGGGCGCAAGCCUGAUCCAGCCAUGCCGCGUGGGUGAAGAAGGCCUUCGGGUUGUAAAGCCCUUUUGUUGGGAAAGAAAAGCAGUCGGCCAAUACCCGAUUGUUCUGACGGUACCCAAAGAAUAGGCACCGGCUAACUUCGUGCCAGCCGCCGCGGUAAAAC